CAGUUUUCUGAACCAUGUGAAUGGACAGCUAACGGUCAACCAUGUUGCUGUAGGUUUGGAAUUACAUGUAAACAAGACCAGGACUUUUCUUCAACUCUACAUGCUCAUGUCCACUCUUCCCCAAACUGCACAGAAGCCACACUGUGUUUCUGAGUACACAGAGUUCGAUGAGCUGAACAUGAAUAUCUUUGCCAAUCAGUUGGGUUCGAACAUGGUCUCACAGAGAUGUCUCAAUGUUGAAUGAUUCAAGGCAGGCAGUAAACCCUAGAGGAGGAUAUACACAAAGGCAUUUACAGAAGAGGAAGAGGUCACAGGAUUAUAACAAGCCUGUCAAUGCACAA